GACGAACGCUGGCGGCGUGCUUAACACAUGCAAGUCGAACGGAAAGGCCUCUUUCGGGGGGUACUCGAGUGGCGAACGGGUGAGUAACACGUGAGUAACCUGCCCUUGACUUUGGGAUAACUUCAGGAAACUGGGGCUAAUACCGGAUAGGAGCUCCUGCUGCAUGGUGGGGGUUGGAAAGUUUCGGCGGUUGGGGAUGGACUGGCGGCUUAUCAGCUUGUUGGUGGGGUAGUGGCUUACCAAGGCUUUGACGGGUAGCCGGCCUGAGAGGGUGACCGGCCACAUUGGGACUGAGAUACGGCCCAGACUCCUACGGGAGGCAGCAGUGGGGAAUAUUGCACAAUGGGUGGAAGCCUGAUGCAGCAACGCCGUGUGCGGGAUGACGGCCUUCGGGUUGUAAACCGCUUUCGCUCAUGACGAAGCUUUGUGUGACGGUAGUGGGUAAAGAAGCACCGGCUAACUACGUG
rnacentral:rRNA from 1 species